GAUGAACGCUAGCGGCAGGCUUAAUACAUGCAAGUCGAGGGGUAGCAAGAUUGUAGCAAUACAAUUGUUGACGACCGGCAAACGGGUGCGGAACACGUACACAACCUUCCUACAAGUGGGGAAUAGCCCAGAGAAAUUUGGAUUAAUACCCCGUAACAUAGCGAUGUGGCAUCACAUUGCUAUUAUAGCUUCGGCGCUUGUUGAUGGGUGUGCGGCUGAUUAGAUAGUUGGCGGGGUAACGGCCCACCAAGUCUACGAUCAGUAGCUGAUGUGAGAGCAUGAUCAGCCACACGGGAACUGAGACACGGGCCCGACUCCUACGGGAGGCAGCAGUAAGGAAUAUUGGACAAUGGACGCAAGUCUGAUCCAGCCAUGCCGCGUGAAGGAUUAAGGUCCUCUGGAUUGUAAACUUCUUUUAUAAGGGACGAAAAAAGGUCUUUCUAGAUCGUCUGACGGUACCUUAUGAAUAAGCACCGGCUAACUCCGUGCCAGCCGCCGCCGUAAUAC
rnacentral:rRNA from 1 species